CUACGGGGGGCACCAGUGGGGAAUAUUGCACAAUGGGCGCAAGCCUGAUGCAGCCAUGCCGCGUGUAUGAAGAAGGCCUUCGGGUUGUAAAGUACUUUCAGCGGGGAGGAAGGGAGUAAAGUUAAUACCUUUGCUCAUUGACGUUACCCGCAGAAGAAGCACCGGCUAAGUCCGUGCCAGCAGCCGCGGUAAUACGGAGGGUGCAAGCGUUAAUCGGAAUUACUGGGCGUAAAGCGCACGCAGGCGGUAUGUUAAGUCAGAUGUGAAAUCCCCGGGCUCAACCUGGGAACUGCAUCUGAUACUGGCAAGCUUGAGUCUCGUAGAGGGGGGUAGAAUUCCAGGUGUAGCGGUGAAAUGCGUAGAGAUCUGGAGGAAUACCGGUGGCGAAGGCGGCCCCCUGGACGAAGACUGACGCUCAGGUGCGAAAGCGUGGGGAGCAAACAGGAUUAGAUACCCCCGUAGUC
rnacentral:rRNA from 1 species